GAGUCCCUUUGAUAUUGGCCUGGUUCACUCAGAUCUUCUUCCUGAGUUUUAAGAAACAGUUCCACAUCUGAUUGAGCCGCGCCAAUAUCUCAGUGCUCUCU
rfam:Arabis alpina cultivar Pajares chromosome 5, whole genome shotgun sequence.